AAGAAGAUAGAUCUGUAGGACUCUGGACCCUUCAUUCUUUUAGGUCCAUGUGAAAUCCUGUUGGUCUGCCCAGGUGACAACUCGCUGUUCGGAUCCAUGACCCCACGGCUUGGGCGUCAACCAAGAGAACGCCUCAGUCUCUGCUUUGCCCUAGACAGUGUCGCAACUUCCAGAGAAGAUGGAACCAGAGCAGGAAGUAUAUGCGUCCGCAAAUAGUGUCCUUCGUGGCAGGUGAGACCUUCCGGCCCCAGGACUUCUGCGGGCUUUCUGCUGGUGGCCUAGUCAAAAGUUUUUUAAAUUUAUUUUUAAUCACGUGUCUGUGCGAGUGAAUGUUCUGCGCUUGUAGGUGUCAGAGGAGGUCGAAGGUGUCGGAUUCCCUGAAGCUGGAGUUACAGGUGGUGUUGAGCCACCUGCUGGUUCUGGGAAUCAAGCUCUGGUCCUCUGGAAGGACAGUAUGUGCUCUUCACCGCUGAGCCAUCUCUCCAGUCCUUCGCGGGCCGUUUUCACCCUUAGCAUGUAAUUUUACCAGCCAGAGGGCUUCAUUUAUAAUUGUGUUUUACAGCGAGAGCCUGGGCCUCCCCAAGAUUGCUGACCACACACUGGGGAUCCUGUUCUCGUCACUACCAGUCUCAGAAGGGCGGUGUGUCACAUAGACACAGGAAAGGGUUCUGAUAACGAUGGUAGGUGGUAGGGGAGAUCCCCCUGCAUGGUGCCUCAGUGGAAAGGACCCCACCCCAUGCUGGCUCAAGGGUAGGAAACAGGCUCAGGUUUCCGGUAGUCUUCUUGAAUGGGGAUGGCACUGCCCUCCUCCUCCCUCGGGCAGCUGUAAGGACAGGUCUCUUCAGGUUCUGCCUGGUCAUCUCCAUCUGUGGAAGGACAACGGGCCAAGGCAUGGUCAGCAGUAGGGAGGGUAGGGAGAAAAGCGGGGUGGGGGUGGGGGCCAUGAAGGUGAGAGUAGGGUGAUGUCAGGAUGGGGCUUCAGGAGGCUAGCAGGGCUGAGAUGGUGGGCUGGGGAAGGAGGGGUGGCUGAUCUCUUACUUGAUCCCUGUUUCCUUCUUUGAUGGAAGAACAAGAUUCCUCCCAGGAUGAAGACAAGAAACAUGCUGGAGAAGGUCACGAAGAUUCGGAUACAGUCGGAACUGCACAAGGGUCUUCGGGCUGUGAUAGGCAAGGGUGCCCAGAGGUUUUGCGGGAGGGUCUAACCUUGAACUCCCUCAGCCCAAUCUGUUGUUCCCUCCAAUCAUCAGCCUUCUGCUCGACCAGUCCCCUGUCUCCUAAUCCCUGGCUAGAUCAUGCUUUCCCCUCCUUCGCCUCCCGCUCUGUCUUUCUGUCUGUCUGCCCUCUCUCUCUUCUCCUUUGUGCGUAGUGAGUACUCGAGCAUGCAUUCAGAGUCCAGCGUGCUCCCUUGAGGCAGGGUUCCUCUCUGCACUGGAAACGUGGCUGUUUCAGCAAAGGUGGCUCUGUCUCUGCCUCUGAAUGCUGGGCUUACACACAAAUCACUCUGAUCCUUAACUCAUGCCCAGUAAGCCCCCGUAUCCACAGAACUUUUCUGCAGCUCUGUACCCCUUCUUCACCCCAUGCUUAGGGGUUUCCCUGUCGCUGCCCUCUUGGCUUCUUUUGUCUGCCCUUUCUCUGAGGAAUGGGGAUUAGCAGGGAGAAAACUCACAUGGCCAAUGGGUAUAGAGAGCUGAGUCACGAGGCUGCCUGGUGUGUGCAGCAGGCCAGAUCGUCCUGGCCUCUGGCAUCACUGGAAGAAACAGACAGAAUCUGUCACAGCAGAAAACCCGCCCUCCUUCCCCUCCACCCCCAACCCCCUCCGAGGAUGCAGUGAACUGAAAGCCUGUGAUUCUGCAGGAGGGAGACAAGUUGGCCCAGAACCUAGCUCGGGGAAUAAAGAUAUCCUUUUUCUACACAAAUAAUUGCAGAACUGGUCCUCAAGAAACUGGAAUUUCCCCAGGAAUCUCAUGCUGGAAAAAUGAAAAGCCUUAAGCCUGUGUCAGCCAGAGGAGGAUCUAGCCUCCCAGUGUGGCUCAUAUCUAGAGAACUAAAUUUGUCAGAUGGAAAAGAGUUUCUCUAUGUAGCCCUGGUUGUCCGUGAACUUACUCUUGUCAACCAGGCUGACCUUGAAUCCAGACUCCACCUGCCCUUCCUCUCCACUGCUGGGAUUAGAGUCACGUUGGACAUAUCUCAAUGCUUUCUAUAUGGAAAUAGCAAAGGAGGUGGUCGCCUGAGGACUCAGCCCAACAUUGCUGGUUUGGAAGAUGAAAGAUGAGAUCUGUAAGCCUCAGGAUGUCCAGGAAACACAAGCAGUUGCCACACAGUGACCCCGACUGGAACGAGCCAAGAGAAACCCAUUUUGUCCUGUUUUGCUACACUGGGGACUGAAGUCAGGGGCUCACAUACGCUAGGCAAGUAUUCUACCUCUGAGCUGCAUCCCUAGCCUGAUGCCUAGUUUCGACUUCUGGCUUAUAGCACCUGAAGGCAGGAACUGAAGCCGAGGUCAUAGAGGAACACGGCUCACUGGCUUGCCCCUCAUAGCUUGCUCAGCCUGCUUAUUUAUACAACCUAGAACUGUCUUCCUAGGGAUGGCACUGCCCACAGUAGGGUGGACCCUUCUCCAUCAAUUAGCUAUCAAGAAAAUGCCCCACAGACAUGUCCACAGACCAAUCUAAUCUGACGGAGGCUCCCUCCUCUCAGAUAAGUCGAACUGAAAACCAACAUUAGCCCUUACAGUGGCAGAGUUCUUAUCUAACAUGUUCAAAACACUGGGCUCCAUUCAGUGUUCUGACCCCAGAAAUUAGAAAGCAGGUAAACAGUUCGGCGAGGGUGCUUUUCUCAUCUGAGUUGGUCAUUCCAACCAAUACUUGCACUCAGAGCCAAGUCUACUAACCACAGUAUAAAAGGUAUUGGGGUAAGAGUUUUAAAAUAUGAUGGAACCCACUGAAACUCAUUGUUCUUACUAAAUAGAUUAGUAUCAAUGUUUUUUCAAAUUGUACAAAAUGUUGCUGUAUGUUAAUAUUUUAGUGACAACAAAUAGAUCUUGUAUAUUGCAAACAAGCAAAUGUUUUAUUGUUGCUGUUUUUCCCACAGUUUACCUCAUCCUUAUGUUUUUGAAUUGUGAACAUGUAAUUCUGUCUCACUUUUUAAGGUCUCUAUAUAUUUAUAUAGAAUUUGUACUUGAAUAUGUAAAUCUGCGAGUAUAGUUUAGACAAAAAUGUAUAAUUGGAGCUAUGUAGUGAAAAGUAUUUUAUAAAUGUUGUAUAAGACCAAAAAUGUUCAGAAAAAUCAAGCUGGAACUAACUGAAGACUUCCCCCCACCCCCGCUGGCUGGUUCCCACAGUGUUGGAAGGUGCUGUGCAAUUCUCUGAGGAGAAACACCGUCGAUGGCAUUGCCCAGAGAUGACUCCUGAAUGCCACGAUACUGACCUGCCUGAUAGGGUAUUGUCUGCUGCUGUAAUAGCGGUGUGAAGGUUACGGGGCCAACCAACCAGUUUCUGAUUUGAUUUGAGGCCUAUUCCACAAGACGCAAUUCAUGCCUGGUGUGACAAACAUGGCCAAGAGCCCAUGGAUCGGGAAGUCACAGGCCUGACGGGACAGCCUGCCACUGUUUCACUGAACUGACAUGUUGUCAAGCUGCCCUCUGACCUACACAUUUAUACCCAUUAAUCUGUGCUUGCCUUAAUUUGCCUUCUAUUGCUGUGAUGGGGCAAUGACCAAAAGUGACUUGGA